rnacentral:rRNA from 1 species
UACGUAGGUCCCGAGCGUUAUCCGGAAUUAUUGGGCGUAAAGAGCAUGUAGGCGGUUUAUUAAGUUUGGUGUGAAAGCUAGUGGCUCAACCACUAAAUUGCAUUGAAAACUGGUAAACUAGAAUACUGGAGGGGCAAGUGGAAUUCCAUGUGUAGCGGUGGAAUGCGUAGAUAUAUGGAGGAACACCAAUGGCGAAGGCAGCUUGCUGGACAGAGAUUGACGCUGAGAUGCGAAAGCGUGGGUAGCAAACAGG